GCCCACAGAGCAGCCUUGAGGGGGUUGUAGCAGCACAUCAUGGUUUGUAGGGACAAGGAGAUACAGACCAUUCUGGGCUGCCUCAAUCCCCCAAGGAGAACGCGGGAGAACUGGGC